AUUGAACGCUGGCGGCAUGCUUUACACAUGCAAGUCGGACGGCAGCACAUAGAAGCUUGCUUCUUGGGUGGCGAGUGGCGAACGGGUGAGUAAUAUAUCGGAACGUACCGAGUAAUGGGGGAUAACUAAUCGAAAGAUUAGCUAAUACCGCAUAUUCUCUGAGGAGGAAAGCAGGGGACCUUCGGGCCUUGCGUUAUUCGAGCGGCCGAUAUCUGAUUAGCUAGUUGGUGGGGUAAAGGCCUACCAAGGCGACGAUCAGUAGCGGGUCUGAGAGGAUGAUCCGCCACACUGGGACUGAGACACGGCCCAGACUCCUACGGGAGGCAGCAGUGGGGAAUUUUGGACAAUGGGCGCAAGCCUGAUCCAGCCAUGCCGCGUGUCUGAAGAAGGCCUUCGGGUUGUAAAGGACUUUUGUCAGGGAAGAAAAGGCUGUUGCUAAUAUCAAUAGCUGAUGACGGUACCUGAAGAAUAAGCACCGGCUAACUACGUG
rnacentral:rRNA from 1 species